CUUAUGUGUUUACCUUCUUGUUGUUUUCAGAGUAUCAGACAGAUUCCCAACCAUUACGUCCGUGUGAACUUCAGAGGGAAAAGGCUUUCUCAGGAGGAGAAACCUACGUUCCUCAGUGCUCAGAAGAUGGCCAGUUCAGGACAGUUCAGUGCAGUAGGAAUGGUCUUUCCUGUUGGUGUGUGGAUGAGAAUGGCAUUGAGGUACCUGGCAGCAAACAGAGUGGUUAUCCCAUAUCUUGCUUAUCCUUUUGCCAGCUGCAAAAGCAGAGGAUCUUAGUAAGUCGAUACAUCAACAGCAGUGGCAUCUCCUACAUCCCUCAGUGCCUGGAUUCGGGGGCUUUUGAUGCGGUGCAGUGUGACACAAAGCUGGGUCAGUGCUGGUGUGUAGAUCCAGAAGGAAUGGAGAUUUAUGGCACCAGGCAGAGAGGAAAGCCAAUGCGCUGUAAGUAAUAUUCAACAAGACGGUGGGGUUUGUAGGUUUGAAAGGUUU
rnacentral:lncRNA from 1 species